rnacentral:snRNA from 1 species
ACACUUACUUGGCAGGGGAGAUACCUUGAUCACGAGGGUGGUUUUCGCAGGGCGAGCCUUAUCCGUUGCACUCUGGAUAAGCUGACCACUGCGAUUUCCCCAAAUGUGGGAACUCGACUGCAAAAUUUGUGGUGAGAGGGGCUGUAUUCAUGCUCUCCCCUG